GGGGAAUAUUGCACAAUGGGCGCAAGCCUGAUGCAGCCAUGCCGCGUGUGUGAAGAAGGCCUUCGGGUUGUAAAGCACUUUCAGCGAGGAGGAAGGCAUUAAGGUUAAUAACCUUAGUGAUUGACGUUACUCGCAGAAGAAGCACCGGCUAACUCCGUGCCAGCAGCCGCGGUAAUACGGAGGGUGCAAGCGUUAAUCGGAGUUACUGGGCGUAAAGCGCACGCAGGCGGUUUGUUAAGUCAGAUGUGAAAUCCCCGAGCUUAACUUGGGAACUGCAUUUGAAACUGGCAAGCUAGAGUCUUGUAGAGGGGGGUAGAAU
rnacentral:rRNA from 1 species